rnacentral:lncRNA from 1 species
GUAAUUUGUAAAUUUGUUUUUUCCUUGCAGGAUUCACUAGAUUCUCAAGUUAUCUUUUGCUCUUAUUUAUAAGUAAUGCCUCCCACUUCCAUUAUUCUAGUGGUGAGUCCUUCCGGUUUGAAACAUGAUGGGAAUUGGGAGAGGACUGCCUGGGAGGAUGACAGCAGGCAUUCUGGUGGCACGACAGAGAGGACCUUCUGGCAGCAGAGAGGGAGAAAGGCAGGCAUGCUUUUGUGGAAUGGCAGCUGUGCUUCAGGCACCACGUGGGCUCUGAGGAUUCAAAACCUGCUCAUUGCCUCCGAGUGGCUCACACAGUCCCACAGGGGAGACUGGUGGUUUGCGAGUUGGAGAAGACACAGAAGGGUUGAGACUGGAGAUGGAAUUCUCCCAGGCCCGGGCUGCCAAUGGAAUCCCGGAUUACAGAGGGGAAGGCCCACCGGUGGAUCAUUCCCAGUAUGAUGGCUGUUAAAGAUCCCCAAUGGGUCUUUUCUGCCAUCGCAAUUGGCACCACCUGAAAUCAACACUGGAUCCUGGAUCUGUGCAGCCGGUAGAUUUGCAGUAGAUUUUAUGAACGGAAAGGAGCUUUCAAAGAUAAAGAAACAAGGAAGAAAAAACAAACAACUUCGGAGUCCUUGGCUUUAUCAGGGAUAGUGUGGAAUCUAGAUAGAGGAGGUGAGAUUUCCAGUGAGAUCACAGGUGGAGGAGUGCAGCAAGGGAGAUGAAAAUGUUCGUUAUGGAGAAUCACAGACCGGGGCCCAGAACCAGUUUUCAAAUCUCGAAGGGCCCCUGUGUGUAAAUGGAGUCAGAUUUGUAUUAUAAAGAAAGGAGCAUGGACCCAAACAGGGAACCAGGGAGACCGCUGGCCCCUUCCCACCUCACACUCCAUAAGCAUCCCCAAACUGCAUCAGUGUUAUGUUCUAAGCGUUUGUUCCCUAUUCUUCCCUGUCUAGGACCUUGGCCCAAGCCUAGUCAUCCCACAGAGACCCCUGCACAGGAAGACCGGGCUUCCCUGUCGUGGGGCUCACCCUCACCAAACCCAUCUCUGUGAAGCAUCCAGAACGUUCUCUGUAAAACACCAUAUGUGACCAUCGUGUCCUCCCCCACCCCAGAUAUCCCUCCAAAUGCCCACAAUUCCAUCUCCUUGACAAACCCUGAGGCCCCGUGCACGCCUCCAUUCCCCUCGGUCACGCACGUCCCUCCUGGUCUUUGCUGCAUGAGCAGUAACUUGCCCGGUGUUCCCUCCUCAACCACACAUCUCACCUCCCAGCCUCAAUCGCUUCGUCCUGCUGAUUGGACUGCCUCCCUCCGCCCCUCACCUCUGAAUUUAUUCCUGCGCAUCUUUGAAGUCUUUCCCUCGGCACCAUUUGGCCCAGGCCCUCUGCUGGAUUCGCCAGCCGGGAUCCCUCUGCUCCGCUCUUUGGGUUAUUGUGCUGAGCGUGGCCUCUGGUGGCCUGCACAU